rnacentral:tRNA from 1 species
AGGGUUGUAGUUAAUUAUAACGUUUGAUUUGCAUUUAAAAAGUAUUGAUAUUUCAAUCUACCUUA